UCGGUUCCGGUUCACGCUCACGGCUCUGCUGACGCGGAGCGGGCGACCCGGCGACC
rnacentral:ncRNA from 1 species